rnacentral:lncRNA from 1 species
UUUAAACACACACAUUAGUAUUCAUACAUAAAGUUCAUUUACAUCUAGAGAUCAAAACAGUCAGUAAAUAUCAGAAGAAUGUAGAUAUUGAUUAUACCAGUAGCCACCAGAAGCAGAAGAGCGACGAAGACAGCCGAAAACAUACGCAUGAAACUCUCCAUUAUCUUCUUGUUCUUAAUAGCUCUUAACUGUGUAUAGGUGUGUUGAGGAUGAGAUGAGAUUACAAUGCAAGCUUACUAGCCUUUAUAUAGAAGCUGUCCACUAAUUAAGCUAGCUGAGUCAUCCGAAAGAUCGAGAAAGCCAUAAUGGUAAAAAGGAGGGAGGAGCUGGGGACGAGUCAUGAAUGGCGAGUAGGGUAUGGUCUGCACUAACAUCACUGCUUUUUCUGCUUUUUUUGAUUCUAGCGAACCACACGUUUGUGAAUUGUGUCAAUUCAAGCUCCAUUGAGUUGGCAAACCUGCAAUGAAUUACUGAAUACUGACUCAUUCUGCAAAGUUAGCUCAAUCAUGCAUGAAUGGGUAACAUGGUCUUCUCAAACUAGCUAGGGAUAUCACCGUCAACCAAUGUUGUACAUAUGUGAAGGAUAGAAUUCCAGAUAACAAUAGUUUAUGGUAAAGAAAGUCAUGAACUCAUGAUACACGUAGCUAAUGAUAAUGAAAUAUGUUUAGAAACCUAAAGGUGUACUCAACUACAUAAUAAGAACAGGGUAGAGGCUGCUUAUAGCAUUACAGAAUCAUAGGUGGUGCAGAAAAUGGAAAAGGAAUUUAGCCCAACAAUGGAAAUCUACCUUUUAGAAAAGAAAGAUAACACAGAUAUUGAAAGUGAGGAUCAUGAAUUUGACUUGUGUCUACCGACAUUGAAGAUUUUAACCUUACACGUACAGUAGCCAUAGUCACCCUAUUUCUUUCUGAAAGCAAAGCAUCUUAGCCAAAUACAACUUUCCUAUUUUUCUCUUUUCUUUGUUACAAAAUUUCUACCAUUCUAAUGGAUAUAAUAUACUGUUUAUUAUCAGCAAAGAACUGAUGGAAAACUGAGAAGUAAGAACCAACCCAAAAUUAAUCUUGACAACAAGACUACAAGAGAAGAAAUAGAACAAUUAAAUUUCUGAUAUAUAAUAGCUAGUAUGCUUCUACAUCAGAGAAAACCAAACAUAUGAAGAGAAAUAUAAUUUUCUUGAUUGAAGUAGAUGAUUGAUGACAAAGGAGAAUACAUGUUUAAACUACUACAGUACUACAAUCAGAGAUGCUAGCUAGCUAGACUAGGAUUUUGUCUUCAUCUAUUUGCUCUAGGUUUGUCUUGGCUUGUAGCAUAAGGAUGGACCUUGUGAGCAGAGCACGGUGGCAUUUGCAUGCAUACUAUUGUGUUUCAGAUAUGGACUGCUAUUUUUUUUUUUUUUUCCGAUUAAUGGUAUGCUGCUGGUGUAUUGCAAUCCUAUAUGCUUAUCAGUAAUAUAUAUAGUCGAAAAAGAUUCUAUAUAAAACAUGCAUACAAGGUAAACUAAAGGCUUAUUUGGUACAUUUUUCCCUAUCAGCUUGGGUUCCCCCAAACUUCUUCCUUAGAGAUUCUACUUCUUCAUCUUUCAACGUCGUAAAUAAUGUUUUGGGUUCCCCAAUCUUGUGACCAUCAGCUACAAUCUCCCAAGGCCGUUUUGAUUUAUUGACAUCACAAAGGGAUUUGAUUGACUCAUGAGGCAAGUUCAGCUGCUCAAGUACCCUAGCAGAAAUGGAAGGCAUGUACGGUUCCAAUAAGAAAUCAAGAAGAUGCACUAACCCUACUGAAGUUUUGAUGACAAUAGAGCACCGAGGCCGGUCCUCCUUGUAGAGCUUCCAGAACUGGGAUCCUUGGAGAUAUGCAUUCCCCUCGCUAGAAAUACUCAUUGCUAAUUUAAGCCCUUGCUUUAGUUUGAGCUUCUCCAUUGCUUCCAUGUAUUGCUCUACAUGUCUGCCGACUUUUUCUGCUAACUCAACUGUCAAAGCAUCAGAGUCUGCACCUGCAGCCUCAGGAAUUAUGCCACCAUAUCCUCCUGAAGGUUUAGCAAUGAAACUCAAAACUCUGUUGAUGAAGUCGCCUAAAUUACCAACCAACUCACUUUUGAGUUUUGUUUGUAAAUCGGACCAAGCAAACUCAGUGUCGGAUCCCUCAGGCCUAUUAGUCAGCAAGUAAUAGAGCCACACUUCAACUGGAAUGCCUGUGAGUUUUGCAUCGUUUCCGAAAACUCCAAUGCCUCUACUCUUAGAAAACUUGCCUUUUUCAUAGUUUAAGUACUCAGUUACACUGAUAUUGUUCAUGAGUGUCCAAUUUUCUCCGGUUCCAAGAAGCGCUGAGGGGAACAUGAUUGUGUGAAAUGGCACAUUGUCCUUCCCCAUGAACUGACACAAUUCGACAUUCUCGGGAUUCUUCCACCACUUCUCAUACUGAUCAGGAGUGUAGCACUUAGUAAUGGAGAUGUAUCCAAUAGGUGCAUCGAACCACACGUAAAAUACCUUGUCUCUGAAGCCAUCGUGUGGAACUGGAACACCCCACUUGAGAUCCCUUGUAAUGCAACGUUGUUUAAGCCCCUCGUUGAGCCAUGCUUUUGUGAUAUGAACCGCAUUCUGGCUCCAACACCCUUUCUCUGAUGCUACAUUGAUGUACUCUUUCAACCUAUCCUUGAGCAAAGGGAGGUCCAGAAACAAGUGACUUGUUUCGCAAAUCCGCGGAGCUUCCUUGCAAACCUUGCAUUUAGGAUCUUCUAAUUCGAUCGGAUUCAAGAGCUAUCCACACUUGUCACACUGGUCUCCUGGGGCAGAAUCAUAGUGACAUCUAGGACAUGUCCCCUCCACGAACCGGUCCGCUAAGAACCUGUUACACUUGUCACAAUGGAGCUGCUGGAUUGAGUUUUCGGCAAGGCAGUCAUUGUGCAACAGUUUCUUGAAAAUGUCUUGGCAGACCUCAGUUUGCUGUGGCGUGGAAGUUCGUCCGAAAUGGUCAAAGCUUAUGUUAAACCACUCAUACACCUCCCUAUGGAUUUUGUGGUACUUGUCACAUAUCUGUUGGGGGCUGCACUUCUCUUCCAAGGCUUUGGUCUCCGUAGCCGUGCCGUACUCGUCGGUACCGGAGAUAUAGAGGGUAUUGUAUCCCCGGAGACGGCAGUACCGAGCAAAGACAUCGGCGCGCUCAAGAUGCAGCCGAUGAUGUUGCCGAGGUGGGGGACGUUGUUAACAUAUGGCAAGGCACUGGUGAUGAGGACGUUUCGCUCUCCUGGUAUUGGGAGCUUGGGGACUUUCUGGUCCUGCUUGGUUAGAUUUUCCAUUGUCAACUUUUAUAGCCAUUAAGUUGACCAAUUUACCCUUAAUUUCUCUUUUUUUUUUAGUUUUUUUAUAUUUGUUUUCAUAUUCCAAAAAUAUUAGAAGAGGUUUUAGAAUUUGAUAAUUCGGGUUGAUCUUUGUAAACUUGAAGAAGAUUGAAGAGAAACAUCCAGAAGUUUAAUCUUUGUUGUUUAUGCUGACACUCAAUCUUUGUUGAUCUUUAUAAACUUGAAGAGAAACAUACAAAAGUUCAAUAUUUGUUGUUUAUGCUGACACUCAAGGAUCUUGUUGUUGCCGUUGACAAUGAAGGAUAAUUGAGAUGAAAAAUUGAUUAUUAACAAGGAGAAAGUGACGAUGAAUUUUUUUUCUACGUUCCUAAAAAUAUAAAAAAACCAAAAAAGAAAAUUGGAAUAUGAAAACAAAGAAAAGAAUUUAAGGGUAUAUUGGUCAUCUUUUUUUGGUUUGAGGGUAAAUUAGUCAUCUUAAUAGCUAUAUAUACUAAUCUUAGGUCGGGAUGGAAACAUGAAAUACCAAUCUAAUAUUUUUAAAACUUGGUAUACCAAAGUUUAUAAGGAGCAAAAGUUUGUAUAUCAUUCAGACGAAUUUCUCUUACAGAAAUGAUCUAUACACUAUAUUCUAGAUACAGAACGGUGGAGAUGUGAAAAUGUUAUCUAAAAGUGAGCGAAAUGAGAAGCACUACAUUUUAAUUUGAAAGUGGUAUCUCUCUCUGGAAGAAAACUGUAUAGAUCAAUAAAUCAUCAUACUAAAAACACAACAUCACCUUCAUAUUCGAAUAUUUGCCAAGUUUGGUUAAUCCGAUCCCUCGUAUAUAGGUGUAUGUACGUGCUUAAAGCUAGCUGGGUAUAGUCAUAACAGGUCACAAGUACAUACUGUGGUGAGUCACUUUCCCGAGUUUGCUCAAUCAUGGAAUGAGCAGCAGCAUGGGCUCCUCAGUCUCACACACAUGGGAUAUCUACAUUUUACAGGUACCUCUCUACUCACAUUUAUGAAGGAUCCAUAGAAUUCGAGAUGACAAUACUUUAAUAUCCAAGAAAGUGACAAGACUUGUACCUAGCCGAGAACAUGGUUAUAAACCUAAAUGUACUCAAACACCUAAUGAGAACAUGAUUAUGAACUUAAAGCAUUACAGAAUCGUAUGGGAAAGAGUUGGAAUUGUCGGCCGGAUUGUUUUCUCUGGUCUCCGGCAAAGACGAAGUGUUAUUGGGGAAGUUGAUUUGUGUUCUUAAUGGGUUUCAUAUUUGGAAUCAAGCCCGCGUAGGGAAAUCUAUCCUCCUUUGUUAUGGUGCUUGAUCAGGAUUUCUCUUACAAUUUUUUUACAGUGCAUCUGGUUAUGAUCUGAAAGCACAUAGAGCAUCAUUGCUGGUAAUUACUUCUUCAGAUUGCUAAAGGAAGGAUGCAUACUCAAAACGUCUGCUAAAAAGAAAGAACCAAAGUGCGGCAUUACAAUCCUACACAAAUCCAAGCUACAUAGAUCACCCAAACUUAAAACACAGCAAGUAGACACAAAAAUCAUUUAUUCUAAACACGUAGGUACGCUACAAUUAUAUGCAUCCUUCUUGCACUGCUAAUUACUCAUUAACAGUGUUUGGUGCAGAAGCAUCUGCGGCGAAGACCGCGGCAGUCGCCUCCGGUGAAGCCCUCAGUUUGGCAAACAGAUGCACAGUUGCUUUCUCUCAAGCAAGUUCCCUUGAACUUGUGGCUCAAAGUCUCACAAGUUCUUGCUUCUGCAACCAUUGCAUUUGGCCCCAUUCCUACAUACAUUUUAAACACACACAUUAGUAUUCAUACAUAAAGUUCAUUUACAUCUAGAGAUCAAAACAUACAGUGAGUAAAUAUCAGAAGAAUGUAGAUAUUGAUUAUACCAGUAGCCACCAGAAGCAGAAGAGCGACGAAGACAGCCGAAAACAUACGCAUGAAACUCUCCAUUAUCUUCUCUUCCUGUUCUUAAUAUCUCUUAUCCUCUUAUCUAGCUGUGGGUGUGUAUAGGUGUGUUGAGGAUGAGAUGAGAUUACAAUGCAAGCUUACCAGCCUUUAUAUAGAAGCUGUGCACUAAGCUAGCUGAGUCAUCCGAAAGAUCGAGAAAGCUAUAAUAUGGUAAAAAGGACGGAGGAGCUGGGGACGAGUCAUGGCGAGUAGGGUAUGGUCUGCACUAACAUCACUGCUUUCUGCUCUUUUUGAUUCUAGCCAACCACACGUUUGUGAAUAAUUGUGACAAUUCAAGCUCCAUUGAG